GACGAACGCUGGCGGCGCGCCUAACACAUGCAAGUCGAACGAGCGAGAGAGAGCUUGCUUUCUCGAGCGAGUGGCGAACGGGUGAGUAACGCGUGAGGAACCUGCCUCAAAGAGGGGGACAACAGUUGGAAACGACUGCUAAUACCGCAUAAGCCCACGACCCGGCAUCGGGUAGAGGGAAAAGGAGCAAUCCGCUUUGAGAUGGCCUCGCGUCCGAUUAGCUAGUUGGUGAGGUAACGGCCCACCAAGGCGACGAUCGGUAGCCGGACUGAGAGGUUGAACGGCCACAUUGGGACUGAGACACGGCCCAGACUCCUACGGGAGGCAGCAGUGGGGAAUAUUGCACAAUGGGGGAAACCCUGAUGCAGCGACGCCGCGUGGAGGAAGAAGGUCUUCGGGUUGUAAACUCCUGUUGUUGAGGAAGAUAAUGACGGUACUCAACAAGGAAGUGACGGCUAACUACGUGCCAGCAGCCGCGGUAAAACGUAGGUCACAAGCGUUGUCCGGAAUUACUGGGUGUAAAGGGAGCGCAGGCGGGAAGACAAGUUGGAAGUGAAAUCCAUGGGCUCAACCAUGAACUGCUUUCAAAACUGUUUUUCUUGAGUAGUGCAGAGGUAGGCGGAAUUCCCGGUGUAGCGGUGGAAUGCGUAGAUAUCGGGAGGAACACCAGUGGCGAAGGCGGCCUACUGGGCACCAACUGACGCUGAGGCUCGAAAGUGUGGGUAGCAAACAGGAUUAGAUACCCUGGUAGUCCACACUGUAAACGAUGAUUACUAGGUGUUGGAGGAUUGACCCCUUCAGUGCCGCAGUUAACACAAUAAGUAAUCCACCUGGGGAGUACGACCGCAAGGUUGAAACUCAAAGGAAUUGACGGGGGCCCGCACAAGCAGUGGAGUAUGUGGUUUAAUUCGACGCAACGCGAAGAACCUUACCAAGUCUUGACAUCCUGCGACGCACAUAGAAAUAUGUGUUUCCUUCGGGACGCAGAGACAGGUGGUGCAUGGUUGUCGUCAGCUCGUGUCGUGAGAUGUUGGGUUAAGUCCCGCAACGAGCGCAACCCUUAUGGUCAGUUACUACGCAAGAGGACUCUGGCCAGACUGCCGUUGACAAAACGGAGGAAGGUGGGGAUGACGUCAAAUCAUCAUGCCCUUUAUGACUUGGGCUACACACGUACUACAAUGGCGUUAAACAAAGAGAAGCAAGACCGCGAGGUGGAGCAAAACUCAGAAACAACGUCCCAGUUCGGACUGCAGGCUGCAACUCGCCUGCACGAAGUCGGAAUUGCUAGUAAUCGCAGAUCAGCAUGCUGCGGUGAAUACGUUCCCGGGCCUU
rnacentral:rRNA from 1 species